UUUAAUUGAACUUAAAAUCGAGUAUUGACCGAUUAGACCGUCGGGAUGUUAGAACUGUGUCGGUUUCAAGUCAGACUGAAAUAGUUUGACCUUAUACAAAGUUUCAUGUGUUGUAUAGACUGAUAGGAUUAUGUGGUAAUGUGUUUAUGUUAUUUUAUACUGUGAUGAUAUUAUUCUAAUAUUUGGAGAUCGAUAUUAACUGUAUUAGGUCUUCGGAUAAGCUAAGUUAUAUUUCAUAUUGGUAAUCAACGGUUCAG
rnacentral:lncRNA from 1 species